GGGUGCGAUCAUACUAGCGUUAAUGCACCGGAUCCCAUCAGAACUCCGCAGUUAAGCGCGCUUGGGCUAGAGUAGUACUGGGAUGGGUGACCUCAAGGGAAGUACUAAUGUUGCACCGU
rnacentral:rRNA from 1 species